rnacentral:lncRNA from 10 species
GUUACCUCCCGCGCAUGCUCUAUGGGGUAGAGACGCUAGGCCGGCACUGCCUAGGUGGGCCGGGCGGUGCGAGGGUCGCCUUUCAGCCUUUACCUCUACCCACUGAAAUGGAGUAGGUCGGUGAGCGCCGAUCUGCUGGAGAAUCUCAUUAUCCCAUCGGCGCUCUGCCUGCUCCUGGCCUCCAAGCCUCUGAAGCCCCUCGGGUUUCAGCUGCCGGCUACCCUCGAGCCCGUGGUGCCCACGAGAGAGGCGACUUUACGUCAGCGGCCCUGGGCUGAGAUUUGAGAACGCGACCAAGUGGAGAAUGUUGGAGCCAGAUUUUAAAAUCCUUGUCUUCCUUCUGCGUGCUACUUGAUCUAAAUGAGAUACGGCAAAGUCACAGAACCUGUUUUUAUGUUUUUGCCUGAUUCAUACGGGCUUCUCCGGUGAAGAUGGGCCUGAAGUAACGCUUGGGUUGCUUCUGACGUUAUAACUCAUCCUGUAGCUGCAGCAACCGUGGUCCUUGCAACCUCAUAAAAAUGUUGCCAGCAUUGUUUCGAUAGUGCUGCUUAAUUCUUGGAAGGUUCUUCGGACUUCACACAUUCCAGCAGUAGCUCUCUCAGCUCCUGUCCUGCACAGCUUUGAAGUGCUGGAUGUCCUAGAUAAUCAAGUCAUGUGACUUGGGGGAGCGAGAAAGAGAAACCAGCAGUGGAGACUUAGAAGAAGCAGCUGUUGACAUAGGAUGGGUCCAGGAAUGUACAGUCUUCUAAAAGCCAGGUGAAGACAAUGUUUAAAGGAGGAAGGAGUGAUCAACAAUGUCAGUUCGUGUCAAUUGGUGUUACUUAGUCAUGUGUCUGUGAAGAAUCAUCUUGCAUAGUUAAGUCUCAG